UGGGGGGCCUUUCCCAUUGCAAGUUCGAACGGUAACGCGGGGCAACCUGGCGACGAGUGGCGAACGGGUGAGUAAUGCAUCGGAACGUGCCCAGUAGUGGGGGAUAGCCCGGCGAAAGCCGGAUUAAUACCGCAUACGACCUACGGGUGAAAGCGGGGGAUCGCAAGACCUCGCGCUAUUGGAGCGGCCGAUGUCAGAUUAGGUUGUUGGUGGGGUAAAGGCCUACCAAGCCGACGAUCUGUAGCUGGUCUGAGAGGACGACCAGCCACACUGGGACUGAGACACGGCCCAGACUCCUACGGGAGGCAGCAGUGGGGGAUUUUGGACAAUGGGGGAAACCCUGAUCCAGCCAUGCCGCGUGCGGGAAGAAGGCCUUCGGGUUGUAAACCGCUUUUGUCAGGGAAGAAACGCUCUGGGCUAAUACCCCGGGGUAAUGACGGUACCUGAAGAAUAAGCACCGGCUAACUACGUGCCAGCAUCCGCGGUAAAU
rnacentral:rRNA from 1 species